CACAUGAAGCAGUUCAAAUUUUGUAGGAAUUUAGAAGAGUUCGGGGUUCGUAAAAAAGUUUAACUGAAGAAGUUCAUUUUUUACUGGAAUCCAAGAAAAUUCCGGUGAUUCUGAGAGACGGAACAAGAAAAAAGCAUUGCGAGUGGCAAGCAGAGUAUUCCCCUGCUUCUUCCCCGGUUCCAUCCAAACCCUGAAACCCUUCCGCGACACCAUGCGCCCGCUUCGGCUCCGCGCCGCCUCCUCGUCGCCGUUCCCACGGCGCCGCCUAUGCGCCGCCGCCGGCACCACGGCACCUUCCUCUCCGGACCCGCCGCCGCAGCCCGCCGAGCCCCUCUCCGCCCACUUCUCCAGACCCGCCGCCGCCCGCGCCACGGGCGUCGCCAAUGGCCUCGCCUCCUCCCUACGCGCGCUCCUCGCCUCCUCGCCCACCCACCCCCGCGCCUUCUCGCUCCUCCGGUCCGCCGCCCUGGACGCGCGAUUCCCACCUGACGCGCUCGUCGACGCCGUCCUUUCCGCCGCGGACGCAGGCUCCCCGGCGGCGCCCGCGCUCCUCAGCUACCUCCUCGCCUGCCUCUCCCGCGCCGGCGCCGACUGCGCUGGCGCCGCGGCCUACGCGCGCAUGGUCUCCCGCGGCGUCGUCCCGGACGCCAAGUCACGCACCGACCUGCUCGUCGCCAUGGCGCGGCGCGCGUCGGCCGCGGACGCGCUCGCGCUGUUCGACGAGAUGCUGGGCAAGGGUUACUACGCAGACGCGAUGAUGUACGACGUCGUGAUGCGGGCCUGCUUCAAGGAAGGGAUGCACGAGGACGCGGUCAGGCUGUUCGACGAAAUGGUGGGCGCCGGGAUCAAGCCCGACGAGCGUGUGUAUGCCCUCUUGAUCGCGGCCCUGUGCAAGCUGCGUGAGGCGGACCAUGCGCUGCGGGUCCUGGGGGAGAUGAAGGAGGCGGGAUUUGGGCCGUGGGACUUGACGUACAACUCUGUGGUGGAUGUGCUCGUGAAGGCGGGGAGGAUGGAAGAGGCACUGCAGGUGAAGGAUGUGAUGCUGGCUGCUGGGAAGAAGAUGGAUGUGAUUCUUGCCACAACGUUGAUGCAUGGGUAUUGCUUGCAUGGUGAAGUUGGGAAAGCGCUGGAUUUGUUUGAUGAGGCUGUUAGAGAUGGUUUGGCUCCAACCAUUGUGACAUAUGGGGUGCUGAUCAGAGGUUGUGAUGCUGAGGGGAUGACAGAUAAGGCAUAUGAGCUAUGCCGCAAGAUGAUAGAGCGGGGAUUGUUGUCGAGCGCAUUUGAGUUCAAUUUGGUGAUUAAAGGCCUCUUGAAAGACAAAAGGUGGGAGGAUGCCAUCAGCUUGUUUGAGGGAAUGGUUGAUACUGGGGUACCCGAUGUGUACACAUACAAUUCUCUAAUUCAUUGGCUCUGUAAGCAUCACAAACUCCGCAAGGCACUUAACUUAUGGGAAAAGAUGAAGGAAGCAGGAGUGAAGCCAUCUAUUGUGACAUACCACAGCUUGCUGCUGGGUUAUUGCGAGAAGGGGAACAUGGAUGAAGCACUCAAGUUAUACUCUGAGAUGCCUGAUAAGGGAUUCAAACCUAAUGAUGUCACUUACACAACUCUAAUGAAAGGGUACAUCAAUAAGAAGGCUUUUGACAAGGCCUAUGCCCUCAUUGAUGAAAUGCAUCAGAAUGGAAUUUCUUGCAAUGAGUAUACAUAUAACAUUCUCAUAAAUGGCCUUUGCAUGGUCGGCCGUGUUUGUGAAGUUGAUGAAAUGUUGAAGAGAUUUAUAAGCGAAGGUUUUGUUCCAAGCACAAUGACAUACAAUAGUAUAAUCAAUGGAUUUGUGAAAGCUGGUAUGAUGGGGUCAGCAUUCGCUAUGUAUCAGCAGAUGUGUGGGAAAGGUAUACCCCCCAACAUAGUAACAUAUACCAGUUUUAUUGAUGGUUAUUGUCGAACCAACUGCUGUGAUCUGGCACUGAAGCUGCUAAAUGAUCUGAGGCGCAAAGGCCUUCAACCUGACAUUGCUGCAUACAAUGCUUUCAUAAAUGGGUUUAGCCAACAGGGGAAUAUGUCUCACGCACUUCAAUUUCUUGUUCUUCUGCUGAAAGAUGGUUUAACACUAGAUGUUACUGUCUACAAUAGUUUUAUUACAGGGUACAAGAAAUUGAAAAUGAUGGAAAAAGCUUCCAAGUUCUAUUAUAGCAUGAUCAAAGAAGGAAUUGUUGUUGAUACAGAAACCUACACAACCUUAAUCGAUGGGUUCUCAAAAGCUGGCAAUGUAGCCUUUGCUUUGGAACUGUACUCAGAGAUGUUGGCCAAAGGCAAUAUUCCCGAUGAUAAAACUUUCACAGCAUUAACACACGGCCUUUGCCGCAGUGGAGACAUCGAUGGUGCUAAGAAGUUAUUGGAUGAGAUGAGUAGAUUAGAUGUGCGCCCAAAUAUUUUUAUUUAUAACAUGCUGAUAAAUGCAUAUCUUCGUGAUGGUAAACUGCAAGAGGCAUUCCGAUUGCAUGAUGAAAUGCUUGACAGGGGAAUCAUGCCUGAUGACACUACAUAUGAUAUACUAGUUAGCAAGAAAUUUUUGGAAGCUGACAGUCCUGCUGAUGCAGAAAAUCCUAUUUUAAGUUCCACCAGUCAAGAAUGAAGAACCUUAGUUUGAGUCUUGAGCAGAUUGAAGUUUCCGUCAUAUGGCAUGGUUUAUAUGGGAAACUUGUGAUGUAAAUAAAGUGAUUUUUUGACAAGACCAGAUUGAAGCAAAGAACCCUAAUGGCGUCCUGCGCACCUGUUUCACGAAGAAGAUCAUGCCUGCUGGGUACAGCCUUUGCUUUGUUGCUGAAAUGCGUUCUGUUUUCCUCGAAGCGCACGGCAGCAAAAUAUUCAAGGUGAGAUGCAAUACACCUAGGAACAUCAUUUCUCAAAAAAGCUAUAAAAGCUCUUCUAGAUCACCUUCUGACUUUUAGUAAUAAUAAUAGUUUUUGCUAGU